UACGUAGGGGGCAAGCGUUGUCCGGAAUCAUUGGGCGUAAAGCGCGCGUAGGCGGCCCGGUAAGUCCGCUCUGAAAGUCCAGGGCUCAACCCUGGAAAGCGGGUGGAUACUGCCGGGCUAGAAUCCGGAAGAGGCGAGUGGAAUUCCUGGUGUAGCGGUGGAAUGCGCAGAUAUCAGGAGGUACACCAAUAGCGAAGGCAGCUCGCUGGGACGGUAUUGACGCUAAGGCGCGAAAGCGUGGGGAGCAAACAGG
rnacentral:rRNA from 1 species